GAUGAACGCUGGCGGCGUGCCUAAUACAUGCAAGUAGAACGCUGAAGGAGGAGCUUGCUCUUCUGGAUGAGUUGCGAACGGGUGAGUAACGCGUAGGUAACCUGCCUGGUAGCGGGGGAUAACUAUUGGAAACGAUAGCUAAUACCGCAUGACAACAGUUAUUGCAUGAUAACUGUUUAAAAGGGGCAACUGCUCCACUACCAGAUGGACCUGCGUUGUAUUAGCUAGUUGGUGAGGUAACGGCUCACCAAGGCGACGAUACAUAGCCGACCUGAGAGGGGGAUCCGCCCCCCUUGGACUGAGACACGGCCCAGACUCCCUCGGGAGGCAGCCGUAGGGGAUCCUCCGCCAUGGGCGGAAGUCUGACCGGGCCACGCCGCGUGAGUGAAGAAGGGUUUCGGAUCGUAAAGCUCUGUUGUAAGAGAAGAACGAGUGUGGGAGUGGAAAGUUCACACUGUGACGGUAUCUUACCAGAAAGGGACGGCUAACUACGUG
rnacentral:rRNA from 1 species